GUUUGUGGUGUAGUGGUUUGAGUGUCAGACUGCGACUGGGGAGACCCAGGUUCGAUUCCUGGCUUGGCCA